rnacentral:rRNA from 1 species
GAGGUAGUGACGAGAAAUAACAAUACAGGGCAUUUUAUGCUCUGUAAUUGGAAUGAUGGGAAUGUAAAACCCUUUCAGAGUAACAAUUGGAGGGCAAGUCUGGUGCCAGCAGCCGCGGUAAUUCCAGCUCCAAUAGUGUAUAUUAGAGUUGUUGCAGUUAAAAAGCUCGUAGUUGGAUUUCUGUCGUGGUCAUCCGGUGUCGCCCGUAUGGGUGUGCGCCUGGUAUGACCGUGGCUUUCUUCUGGUGGCCAGCCAUCCGCGCUUAAUUGCGUGGGUUGGUGAUGUUGAGCCAGAACCUUUACUUUGAGAAAAAUAGAGUGUUUCAAGCAGGCUUGUCGCCCUGAAUACUUCAGCAUGGAAUAAUAGGAUAGGACCUCGGUUCUAUUUUGUUGGUUUCUAGGACCAAGGUAAUGAUUAAUAGGGACAGUUGGGGGCAUUCGUAUUUAACUGUCAGAGGUGAAAUUCUUAGAUUUGUUAAAGACGAACUACUGCGAAAGCAUUUGCCAAGGAUGUUUUCAUUAAUCAAGAACGACAGUAGGG